AUGAUCUCACAGGCUCAACUCAUCUGGCUGUUAGUGCUCUGCGUCCACGGCUCCACUGGGGACAUUGUGCUGACUCAGACUCCAGAAUCCCUGGCAGUGUCUCCAGGAGACAGAGUCACCAUCAACUGCAAAGCCAGUUCUAGCAUAAAAGUCUUUUUAGGCAGUAGCUAUUUAGCUUGGUACCAACAGAAACCCAGCCAAGCUCUUCAGUUCCUCAUCUAUGACGCUUCUACCCGCGCCUCUGGGAUCCCAGACCGGUUCAGCGGCAGUGGGUCUGGGACCGAUUUCACUCUCACAAUCAGCAGCGUACAAGCUGAAGAUGCUGGAGAUUAUUAUUGUCAGCAAGGUUUUGAAACCCCGCGCACAGGGAUACAGACCAAUAUAAAAACUUGCCUAUGCAGUUCAAUUCAGUGUCACAGCUGCUUCCUAAAUGUUCACUUUGUCAGUGCAACUGCCACACUUGAUACCGGGACAGAAGUUUG